UACAGAGGGUGCAAGCGUUGUUCGGAAUUACUGGGCGUAAAGCGUGUGUAGGUGGCUGCGAAAGUCGGAUGUGAAAGCCCUGGGCUCAACUCAGGAAGUGCACCCGAUACUGCGUAGCUCGAGUACCGGAGAGGUUGGUAGAAUUCUCGGUGUAGAGGUGAAAUUCGUAGAUAUCGAGAGGAAUACCUGUGGCGAAGGCGGCCAACUGGACGAGUACUGACACUGAGACACGAAAGCGUGGGGAGCAAACAGG
rnacentral:rRNA from 1 species